UUAACUCGUAUUUGUAUGGAGUUGGAACGUUUGCCUACUUUUGCCGCUAGGGGCGCUAUUCCAACUGCAUUCAAAUUUGAAUUA
rnacentral:pre_miRNA from 1 species